UACGGAGGGUCCAAGCGUUAUCCGGAAUCAUUGGUUUGAAAGGGUCCGUAGGCGGUUUGAUAAGUCAGUUGGUGAAAUCUUUCGGACUCAACCGAGAAAUGGCCAUUGAUACUGUCAGACUUGAAUUAUUAGGAAGUAAACUAGAAUAUGUAGUUGUAGCGGUGAAAUGCUUAGAGAUUACAUGGAAUAACCAAUUGCGAAGGCAGGUUACUUACUAAGUGGAUUGACGCUGAUGGACGAAAGCGUGGGUAGCGAACAGG
rnacentral:rRNA from 1 species